UACGGGGGGGGUAAGCGUUGUUCGGAAUUACUGGGCGUAAAGGGCUCGUAGGCGGCCAACUAAGUCAUACGUGAAAUCCCUCAGCUUAACUGGGGAACUGCGUGUGAUACUGGAUGGCUUGGAUUUGGGAGAGGGAUGCGGAAUUCCAGGUGUAGCGGUGAAAUGCGCAGAUAUCGGGAAGAACACCCGUGGCGAAGGCGGCUCUCUGGAACGCAACUGACGCUGAGACGCGAAAGCGUGGGGAGCAAACAGG
rnacentral:rRNA from 1 species